UACGGGGGGGGCAAGCGUUGUUCGGAAUUACUGGGCGUAAAGGGCUCGUAGGCGGCCAACUAAGUCGGAUGUGAAAUCCCCAGGCUUAACCUGGGAACUGCAUCCGAUACUGGAUGGCUUGAAUCCGGGAGAGGGAUGCAGAAUUCCAGGUGUAGCGGUGAAAUGCGUAGAUAUCUGGAGGAACACCGGUGGCGAAGGCGGCAUCCUGGACCGGUAUUGACGCUGAGUGAGCGAAAGCCAGGGGAGCAAACGGG
rnacentral:rRNA from 1 species